AACAGCAAGGAAAAGCUCCAGUGAAUGGGACAGACAUAACACAACACAGCACUUGGGGAGCUAAGCCAUGCCCCCUCUCUGCUCCAGCCCUUCCUGAUUCCCACUGUAUUAGCUUCGCCUGCCUCAAAAGAGUUCGGCUGCAUCCCACCCAUCUGCUGGUCCAGCUCAGAUCUGCCUGCCUUGGUGAUCAACCAACAAGCGAUAAUAUUCCAUAGAAAUGAAUUACGGAAGAAGGCAGAGUUCCACCACAGGUCCUUUCCUGUGCCUGGAAAAGUCACUGAGCAGCUGCUGGACCUGGCAAAACAUUUCCAGAAAGCAGAGCUGCAAGGCAGCUCAUGAAGAGCGAGCUUCCUGACGUGUGAGAACAGUAGUUUGGAGAGGGAGGAAGAACCGAGGAAACAGAUCUGUGAGAAACACUUCCUGGCAGCUUGUCACUCUGGAAGGAGACUGAGAUGUGUGGUGAAGGCAGCAGCUUACCUGUGGUAGGUGUUGGCCACCCAGUCAAG